GACCUGGAGUCCCUGCUCUCCCAGGACGAGGAGGAUGAGGCCGACGUGCAGCAGGCGCAGGAGGAUGCACGGAGGCUGCCAGCAUGCUGGGCCAGGCAGAACGCCGGCGGCUGUGCCCUCUCCAAAUCAGCAUCGCUCAGCGUCAUCGACAGCUUCCCCGACGCAGAUGAAAUUUCCCCUUUCGCCUCCCAGCAGAGCCUGGUCAAUGGGUGAGUCGGGGUGGGGGG
rnacentral:lncRNA from 1 species